UUGGCAUGAGAAGUCUGAUGAGCAUACGCGUGAGUGUAGAAGUUCUUCGGAUCUGUAAAGCUCUGUUGUUAGGGAAGAACAAGUGCCGUUCAAAUAGGGCGGGACCUUGACGGUACCUAACCAGAAAGCCACGGCUAACUACGUGCCAGCA
rnacentral:rRNA from 1 species